AGAGUUUGAUCCUGGCUCAGAAUGAACGCUGGCGGCGUGCUUAACACAUGCAAGUCGAACGAUGAAGCCUAGCUUGCUAGGUGGAUUAGUGGCGCACGGGUGAGUAAUAUAUAGGUAACGUGCCUCUUAGUCUGGGAUAGCCAUUGGAAACGAUGAUUAAUACUGGAUACUCCUUCUAACUCUAAUGUUAGUCGGGAAAGUUUUUCGCUAAGAGAUCGGCCUAUUUCCCAUCAGCUUGUUGGUAGUGUAAGAGACUACCAAGGCUAUGACGGGUAGCGGGUUUGAGAGGAUGAUCCGCCACACUGGUACUGAGACACGGACCAGACUCCUACGGGAGGCAGCAGUGAGGAAUAUUGCACAAUGGAGGAAACUCUGAUGCAGCAACGCCGCGUGGAGGAUGACGCAUUUCGGUGUGUAAACUCCUUUUAUGAGUCAAGAAAAUGACGGUAGCUCAUGAAUAAGCACCGGCUAACUCCGUGCCAGCAGCCGCGGUAAUACGGAGGGUGCAAGCGUUAUUCGGAAUCACUGGGCGUAAAGGACGCGUAGGCGGGAUGCCAAGUCUGAUGUGAAAUCCUAUGGCUUAACCAUAGAACUGCAUUGGAAACUGGUAACCUAGAGUAUGGGAGGGGGAGAUGGAAUUAGUGGUGUAGGGGUAAAAUCCGUAGAUAUCACUAGGAAUACCGAAAGCGAAGGCGAUCUCCUGGAACAAUACUGACGCUAAGGCGUGAAAGCGUGGGGAGCAAACGGGAUUAGAUACCCCGGUAGUCCACGCCCUAAACGAUGUUCACUAGUCGUCGGGAUGCUAGUCAUCUCGGUGAUGCACUUAACAGAUUAAGUGAACCGCCUGGGGAGUACGGUCGCAAGAUUGAAACUCAAAGGAAUUGACGGGGGCCCGCACAAGCGGUGGAGCAUGUGGUUUAAUUCGAUGAUACGCGAGGAACCUUACCAGGGCUUAAAUGUAAGUUGCAUUAUUCAGAGAUGGAUAUUUCUUCGGACUACUUACAAGGUGCUGCAUGGUUGUCGUCAGCUCGUGCCGUGAGGUGUCAGGUUAAGUCCUAUAACGAGCGCAACCCCUAUCGUUAGUUGCUAGCAGGUCAUGCUGAGGACUCUAACGAGACUGCCGGUGCAAACCGUGAGGAAGGUGGGGAUGACGUCAAAUCAUCAUGGCCCUUAUGGGCUGGGCUACACACGUGCUACAAUGGUCGGUACAGAGGGCUGCAAACUUGCGAGAGUAAGCGAAUCCCUUAAAGCCGGUCGUAGUCCGGAUUGGAGUCUGCAACUCGACUCCAUGAAGUCGGAAUCGCUAGUAAUCGCGAAUCAGCAUUGUCGCGGUGAAUACGUUCCCGGGCCUUGUACACACCGCCCGUCACACCAUGGAAGUUGGUUGCACCAGAAGUGGCUAGUCUAACUGUUUACAGGGGACGGUCACCACGGUGUGAUUCAUGACUGGGGUAAAGUCGUAACAAGGUAACC
rnacentral:rRNA from 1 species